AUUAUCGCUUCUUACUUCUCCACCAACGUUGUGCUCUUCUUCCUUAUUCACUGUCGAACUCUUCAUCCUCCUCCUUCUCGGUCAUGUUUCCUCGCUCAUCAGUCCUCACCAUCGGUCUGUGUCGUCCUCACUGCUGUGCUCUUCUCCAUCUUCGUUCGUCCAUUGUAGUUGGUAAGUUGCUGUAUUUUUCUUUCUCUGUCGUUGCCCUCUGCUUCAUCACUGGUCCGAGCCAGCAUGUGUGUGUGAGUGCUCUUCAAUUUCCUUUCUUCUUCAGCAGCUGCACGUCUUGUAAAUAUGUGUGAUGAGCUCAAUUUUUUCCAUGGCUGGCUGGCAAUCCUGCUCUUCUUCUUCUCUGCCCUGUCAUAGCUGUUGUAAAAGGUAUGUGGAAGAAUAGGAUCCCAACAAGAAUUAAUGAAGAAUAUCUUUGAGAAUUUGGAACUCCAAUGUGGUGUGAGAGAUAGUCUUGAGGAGCUGAUGAUGAAACAAAGGCAUUUACAAUGAUAUCAUAUGUAGUUCUUUACCCAAAAUAGUUGUAACCAGAAUGUCAGGGUGAAUUAUGUGAGACAAAAUUAGUAAGACAUGGUUUUGUGUGCUGUGGGCUGUCAACAUCUGCUAAUCCCCUCCAUUAUUGCUCUUCAUGCUUUCUCUUCCAUUUGUUCUAAGGUUGGUAUUUCCCUCCCUCCAUUAUUGCAAUCUUUCUUUGCUCCAAUUUAGUCAUUAUAUAAAUUGGAAAUAGGACUUUCCACACUUAAAAAAUUUUACACCUGGAAAAAGGUUAGUCAUUUAAUUUGCCAAGGCUUCUGAAUUCAUCCAAAUCUAAAGCAUCCACGUGUCGUUGUCUGUUGAAGUUUUCGGUGCCUUCCAGAUUUGAAGUGCCAUCACGAUAUGCUCUUACUCUUGCUCAUCCAACUGAAGUUGCUGAAGCUCGUUCAAGCAUUUUAGUCUCAAUCCCAUGAUCAUUACUUCCAUCCUUUAUCAAUUCUCGCGUUUCAACCUUUAGUUUUAGCUUCCAUCAUCUUCUCAUCUAGUUAUUUUCAAAUACCUUAAGUUACUUGAAGAAAUUUGUUUCCAACCUCUAUUCAUGCUCAUCCAGAGCAUAAGCAAAGUUGUUGAAACUCAAAGGGAAAAAUAGUUGCAAAUACAUAUAAAUUAUUUGAAGAAAUUUGCAUGUCUUUCAAUAAGAUUGAUAGUCUUGUAUGUUUUGCAGGAUGAUAUUAUUUGCAUCGAAAUUAUGAAUUUAGAAGCUCAGGCUCAACUCAACUUAAUUGGCCUUAAAAUAAUUAAAAAUUAAUAAUCAUGAUGCCUUAGCUAUUAAGUCAAGACUAGGUCUAAGUCAUUAUCUUUACACUCCACCCAUAAUGCUUGAAUUAUGAAAGUUAGGAAAAUGGCCAUGAUAGAGAAAGUCCUUCCUAAAUUCAAGAAAAGUGGCAAUCAUGGGGCUUGGGUCAAGCCAAGAUCAUCUAUAAAAAGAGGAGCAUUUUCUCAACAAGGAUAAUUAUUAGCAUCAAAAAACUACUAGUCAAAUUCUUAGAUUUUGCGUUUGCUACAUUAUUUUAUUUUUCCUUUUAUCAUGUAGUUUUAGUCUUUAUUUUUUUUAUUGUACAGUAGACAUAACUUGUCACCUCUUUCUUCAAUUAAUAUAUCUCUACUUCCUUGCAUCUACAAUAUUUUUCUUCACUUUGCAUUCUUACAUUCGGGUGAACAAUGAUAAAAGACCCUAAGUUCCUCACAUUUGAAUCGAAGUCAAGUUCUUCCAUCCUUUUAAGAUCUUACGUCUCUAGCAUGCCUUGCAACACGCCCUUUUUUAUUUUUGCUGAACAGAUAUAUUUCAUAUACCAUAGGCUUAGAAAUCAUGUUGGGGAGAUUUUGGAAGUUGGGAUCCUAUGAUUACUAUACCUCUUGGCUUGUAUAUUCGUGGAAACUUGAAACUUGUUGCCCUAUUCAUUUGUUUAGUUUCAUUAAUUUAGUCAACUAACUAAAUAAAUUAUGUCAUUUUAUCUUACAAUACUUUGAAGAUGCCUGA